rnacentral:sRNA from 2 species
AAAUUUUACUGGCUUAAUCCCGUAAACACGGGAACGGAGGAACCAAUUUUUUUGGGGCUAAUUCUGCUUUAGCAGAAGGGAUGAAAGGACUCUUUCGCCAUCCUGCCCGUCAGCUAACUUCGUCGGCUAAAGCGAAGGAGGUC